GCUGGCGAGGAAAUCUGGCUUUCCCCAAACAGCCCAACUGAAGAAUUGUGGCGAGGAUUUUCUCUCGGUGCUGGAAGUGGUGGCAGAUGUCUACCGCCUGCUCUCCUCUCCUUCUGCCAGCGCCUUUCGAGUCCGCCCUCUCUGUCGGUUCUGUUUGGGUGCCCCGAGCUGAUCUUCAGCCAUGGGGUGGCUCGCUUCCCCCUUUCCUCAGAACCGCCCUACAGAGCAGGAAGCCGUCGACUUACUGGAGCUGUUUUCGCCCAGGAAACCUCCAGGAGUUUUCUGCGCCCAGACAAACGCAAAACCCCAAACACCUUUUUGGCGGGGGUGGGGGGGAGCGGGGGUGUGGCUCGCCGCCUUCUGCUGAUCUCCAGGGCAGCAUGAUGACGAGGGAGGAGGGUAGGUGUUGCAGACAAAGCUGGGACUCCGGCAGAGGGACGGGCGGGGAAUCCGGCCUUGUCCGCAUUUUCGAGAUUACCGCGGCGUUUGGGGACGAUUUUUAGGGCCGAGUCCUCCCGCUCCCAUUGGCUGCUGCGGUCGAAUAAUUAUGAUCACAUCCUAGUACUGCUGGCUGCUGCUUACUGUUUAUUGGUAGUUAAGGAUCUAUUAUCUAUUCAUCAACCUCCUAUUUUUACCAAUUACACUCUUCUAAAGUGAAGUACCAGCAGGUAUUUUUCACGUUCUCAAUUAAUGAUUUAAAAAAAAUCUGGCGUAUUUUAAAUCUAUUACGCUGCGGUGUGAUUUAUUUCGAAAGGUGCAGAGGAUGCACAGUGGAGUCUACAAGGAAAUCGGGAGGGGAAAGCUUGUUUCCAAAAGCUUUUAAGUUUUCCCUUUCAUGGUUUCUCCAGCAUCCCUUUAAUAUUAUUAGUAAAAGCUAUUUGAUGGAAUACUUUUUUAAAAUUUAAAAUUUAAAAUUUAAAAUUUAUUUUAAAAAACCCUGAUUAUCACAUUCAUUUAAAUAUAAGUCGAAAUAUAUCCUGCCUUUUCCGUUGUAACUUGUAGGAAUCACAUCGUCCGGGUAGCAACAAAAACCAAGAACAAAAAACCCAGACUUUGUGUCACUAGAGCAAUUAGAUGAAGACUCUCUCCUUCAGUUGGAGUUACUAAGAACUCAGGGGGUGAAUUCAUAUACUUUCCCCCUAUUUUGUGUACAAUCUCUCUCUCUCUCUCUCUCUCUCUCUCUCUCUUUCACACACACACACACGCACACGCACGCACACAUACUUGAGACAGUACAAAGUGCGUUGCUUUUAUGCUUACGACCAGAUGCCACGCAAGCUAGAAAUAAAUUGGGUAUAAAUAUAAACUCGUAGAUGGAGCUUGCAUAUGGCUAAAAUUAUUAUUAGGCCCUAUUAAUUAUGCAAAAAUCCCACCUAUUUCUCUCUGCAGCCCAUGUGGGUGGAAGUGUGUGGACAGAUUAGGAACGCUGGCAGCUGUAUGCAACCAAGAAGACAGGAGUGUGUGUGUGUGUUUUCUUUAAUCUGCCUUUAUUCCCUGCGUUUGAUGUUUUGGGGUUAUCAUCAUCAUCCUGCAAUACAUUACAACAUUCUGGCUACUAAACUAUAAAGUAGUCAUUUAUUUAUUGUGCCUUUAAUUGGUUUUUUAAAAAAUCUAAACGGGCAGCGUAAAGACAAUGGACAACUCUUUUCAAAGCCGCCUUGCCUUGCCUUCACCCACCGACCCAUUUGAAGUUUUUUUUUCAAUUAAAAAAAAAUCCCGCUUGUCUUUUAAAGGAUUAGCUCUCGUCGUAAAGCAACCAAUUUCGACUCCUUCCUUCACGCCCAAAUGUUAUGGAAAGUGAAUUUUAAAAGUCCAGCAAAGCGGGGGGAGUGUGUGUGUGAGAUGGGUGUUGGGGUUACAGGCAAUCUCAAGAGAAAAUUGGACAACGUUAAAAUGUCAUAUAGCCCAAUCCACAACUCAGGUCAUCCCUGCGUGUAUGUCUGGACUGAAACUCAAGUGACUUUGGUGGGAGCCGCAGCAAGUAUUUCACCAUAGUUACAUUCUGACAUCACGGAAGUGGGAAUGAGCUCAUUAAUUUCGGUGUAGGUUAUUGGGAAGGGGGUGGGGAAUUGUGUGUUUCUUAAAUCCUUUGGGUAAGGGCGCCCAUCUGCGAUCCUCAGUGCACUAGUAUGAAAGGGCGUUUCGCUGAAAUAAGGGGAAUUUACAAAUGCAAAGAGAUUGGCAGGCCCCAGAUCUCACCAUGAUUUACCCGGAUGUGUGUGUGUGUGUGUUUUAAUGCCAUCAACGGGAUGGCGGGGCCAGGAAUGCCAGAUAAAUAUACUUCGGAUGACCCAGGUGCCAAGUUAGAACCUUAGUCCUGCUAUUGUCUGAAACGUUCAAAAGGGAUCGUAUAGUAGUGGCGAGGAAAAUCUAGCCCGGGGCUAAAGGAAGAAAGGCAACCAGCUUAAAAACAGAAAACAGAACCCUCCCAAAACAAGCAUUGCCCAUAGAAAGAAAUCUGACUAUUUAAAUAGCUCCAGCCAGGAGAUUUCAGCCUGCCUGUUUUGAACACGAGAGAUGCCUUCAAACGAGUUCCUUAAAAGUUGCUUCUCUGCGCAGGUAUAGAGAGAUCCCUGUUGUGAAUGAAUGGCCGGUCUGAGUGGAAGCCUUUGGUCUUUCCAAAGCCUCCUAGGUCGCCUGGCGCGCGGCUGAAAAGUCCCCGAAUCGUGGCUCUUUAUAGAUACCCUCUUUGAGCUGGCUUUGCCGCGGGAUUCUAUGUAAAAGGGGUAUCGCGUCCUCUAACAAGAUCCGGAGCAGGAAGUCUCGAUCCAGCUCACCCCACCUCCCGCUUUUAAACCAACGGCGAGUGGAAAACGGAGACCGAACUCGGACGUGGGGAGGGAAGCCCACCAUCUCCCCUCGCUGUUUCCCGACAACGCGGCGGCCGGACGGUGCCCUCACCAUCCCGCUUCACCGCGCGAGUUUUUCUCGGGCAGAAUUAGGUUUUAGAAAACGCGUCCCUCGCCGCCUUAGGAAACUCUUGCCAGGACAUUUCUCUGUGGAAGUUAAUAAUCGCAACCCGACAUCUCUCUCCUAGGCCGGUGCCUGGCGCGCCCUUUGCUGGAGGCACCGGCAAAAAAUUACCAUGCAGAAUCUGAACUCUGGAUUCCAGAAAGGAAAGAGGAUCUUUUGCGAGAGGGUUGGCAUAUUUGUGACAACAACGAGGAGCGGGGGAAGUUGAGCCAGAGAAGGCGAGGGGGAAAUAGGGCGCUCACUUGACCCUGCUGCCUGUGGGGUUAGAAAUUAUUUCCCAAAGCCCAACCUUUGCCCUAGUGUUGGCGUUUCUGGCUACCGCCCCGUCUUUUCUGAGACUUCUGGGACCCCCUCCAAGAUGAGAUCCCUUUUAGCUCCAGAUCUGAGUCUUUCCACCUUUGCCUCACAACCCCAGUGAUCUUUCUUCUCAUCGCACAGUUGUCCACUUCUUUUUAGCCUAAUAAUAAUAAUAAUUCGACCAGCCUGACGAAAUAACCCAGAGCCGUCGAGGUCGCUCAGACGCUGCCCAGGCCCAGGCGCCCUUGACUGGAAUGGAUCAGGAUUGCGCCCACAAUAAAAUGCUGAGCAGGGCCGGGGUGGCGGCUGAGGUGGGGUGGUGGUGGUGGUUCUGGUUGGCUGGGAACUGGAGGGAUAAUUACGUGGCUUAAAUGCACAAGGCAGCUCCUAAAUCUCCGCAAAUAGAUUUAGGCGUGCUGCGAGCCCCCUUUUAAAAGCGUCUUUAGCGCCAUAAGCCGGAGCGAUUGCGAUGGCCCGGGCCUUGCCCUUCUGCCGUUCCUCGGCUGGCGCAGGCAGAUCAGACGGGAGCCGAGGUCGGGCCUGGCCGGCGGGAUAAAAGAGGCGAGCGGCUGGAAGCCGGACACCAGGCUCGUGGGCAGCGGGUCAGGCCAGGCGGCCCCCUCCCGAGGCUCGCAAGCUGCUUUGCGCAGCGCGCAGGUGGGUUAGCUGUCCGAGGUGAGAGCGAGACCUCCAGCCAAAGCGAAUUGCAAUUCCCCACCUAACUCUGUUCCCAAACCUCAACAGGCACAGAGGAAUCCAAGAAGCCUGGGAUCCUCUCGGGUCCAGAUCCCCAGAAGGAUCCCCCUGCCUCCUUGAACAGAAUGGAGCGUCCCCACCCCAUUUUUCAUUGAGCCUCUUUAGGAUGGGGGUAACGGCUUAUUUCUCCUGGUACUGCCCUUCUCUCUGGGAUUGCUGGGGGAAGAUGCGCGGGAUUGGGGGGUUUGUGCGUGAGAGCGAUAAUCGAUCUGCUAGUUGCCCAUCUCUCUGCAAACUUCCCAAGUUGCUCCUCUCUCUUUCAGAUCCAAGUUAACAUUCACAAAUCUCUUCCUAUCCCCUAAGAACCACACGGCGUCGAGAAUUAGAAUUGGGUAACUGGGCAAUUAAUGUUCAAAAUUAAUGCUAACAGAGUCAGAAUUAAAAGUAUGGAUGGUCUAUUUGGAACAGGGAAAUCCCUUUUCAGCCCACCCCCGAAUAUAUUGCACACACACCAGUUUAGAAAGGGAGAUACAUCCCACACACCGACUCUCCCAAUAACAGCGAGCAGAGCAGGGGGAAAGCGAUAGCAACUUGCCAGCCUGGGGGAGAUUCUUCCGACUUGCAGACCAUCUGGGGACGUGUUUGGGUUGCUCAGCAGAGAGAUUGAAAGGUCUGCCCUGUGCUAAUUUUGGACUAUCGGAGGUCCAGUUUUGGUACAGGCUGCAGGAUAGGACCCAGGCUCUGUAAUGACUCAGUGGGCGCUUAAACCGGAGUAAUGGCGUUUACGCGUCAGAUGGGUUCCCAUGAAACUCCGUGAGUCAUAAAGUGGUUCGUGAUGUCCAAAUAUAAUCAUCUGAGCGAACCACCAGAGACUGAUCCCCCUAUAGCCCAACUGUGAAUGAAGAACAUUAAAACAAAAAGCAGAGAAACAGGAGGAACAGACUAGUAAACAACUGUAGGUGGGGCGGCGGUCAUUCCCGGAUGUUUUGGAGUUGUAUUCCUGGAUCCCAAUACUGGACUGAAAUCGUUGUUCCUUUUGGCUGUAGUGGACCAAAUUCUGUCAGAUACAAAUCUUCCUGCCUAUUCUGUUUAUGAACUGUUGGAUUCCUGUUCAGAGCGCAUUUCGUUGGAAGAGGCCGCCUCCAGUUAGAGUGGAAUUUACCUCCAAGUAAUUGCGUGUGUACAGGGUUGCAGCCCUGGCGUGGCUGAACCCUCUUGGUCUUGCUUAAUCCAGCAGCAACAGCACCAGUCAAACAGUAUC